rnacentral:rRNA from 1 species
AUUGAACGCUGGCGGCAGGCCUAACACAUGCAAGUCGAGCGGAUGAAGGGAGCUUGCUCCUGGAUUCAGCGGCGGACGGGUGAGUAAUGCCUAGGAAUCUGCCUGGUAGUGGGGGAUAACGUCCGGAAACGGGCGCUAAUACCGCAUACGUCCUGAGGGAGAAAGUGGGGGAUCUUCGGACCUCACGCUAGCAGAGGAGCCUAGGUCGGAUUAGCUAGUUGGUGGGUUGAGGGCCUACCAAGGCGACGAUCCGUAACUGGACUGAGAGGAUGAUCAGUCACACUGGAACUGAGACACGGUCCAGACUCCUACGGGAGGCAGCAGUGGGGAAUAUUGGACAAUGGGCGAAAGCCUGAUCCAGCCAUGCCGCGUGUGUGAAGAAGGUCUUCGGAUUGUAAAGCACUUUAAGUUGGGAGGAAGGGCAGUAAGUUAAUACCUUGCUGUUUUGACGGUACCAACAGAAUAAGCACCGGCUAACUUCGUG